rnacentral:rRNA from 31 species
UUGACCUCGGAUCAGGUAGGGAUACCCGCUGAACUUAAGCAUAUCAAUAAGCGGAGGAAAAGAAACCAACCGGGAUUGCCUC